GCCUUCGUGGUGUAGUGGUCAGCACGCUCAACGCUUAUUCGAGAGGAUCGUGGUUCAAAUCCCGUCGACGACA
rnacentral:tRNA from 1 species